rnacentral:rRNA from 1 species
GCCAGUAGUCAUAUGCUGUCUCAAAGAUUAAGCCAUGCAUGUGUAAGUACAAGCCGAUGUAAGGUGAAACCGCGAAUGGCUCAUUAAAUCAGCUAUGUUUCAUUGGAUCUGUACCCCCACUUACUUGGAUAACUGUGGUAAUUCUAGAGCUAAUACAUGCACACAGAGUCCCCGACCGCAAGGGAGGGGCGCUUUUAUUAGUCCAAAACCGGUCGGGCCUCGGUCCGUAACCCACCUGUGGUGAAUCUGAAUAACUUUGAGCUGAGCGCACGGUCUCCGCACUGGCGCCGCAUCUUUCAAGUGUCUGCCUUAUCAGCUUUCGAUUGUAGGUUAUUCGCCUACAAUGGCUAUAACGGGUAACGGGGAAUCAGGGUUCGAUUCCGGAGAGGGAGCCUGAGAAACGGCUACCACAUCUAAGGAAGGCAGCAGGCACGUAAAUUACCCAUUCCCAGACUGGGGAGGUAGUGACGAAAAAUAACGAUGCGAGACUCAUCCGAGGCCUCGCAAUCGGAAUGAGUACACUUUAAAUCCUUUAACGAGGACCCAUUGGAGGGCAAGUCUGGUGCCAGCAGCCGCGGUAAUUCCAGCUCCAAUAGCGUAUAUUAAAGUUGUUGCGGUUAAAAAGCUCGUAGUUGGAUUACAGUUCCGGACUGACGGUUCACCGCCCGGUGCUUACUGUCACGCUCCGAACAGCCUGAAACAUGGCCCCGCCGGCUCGCCCGGGGUGCUCUUUACCGAGUGUCCCGAGUGGCCGGCAUGUUUACUUUGAAAAAAUUAGAGUGCUCAGAGCAGGCUACAUGAAUUGGCCUGAAUGUCUAUGCAUGGAAUAAUGGAAUAGGACCUCGGUUCUAUUUUGUCGGUUUUCUUCGGAACCCGAGGUAAUGACUAAUAGAAACAGGCGGGGGUAUUAGUACUGCGACGCUAGAGGUGAAAUUCUUGGACCGUCGCAAGACUAACAACUGCGAAAGCAUUUACCAAGGAUGUUUUCAUUAAUCAAGAACGAAAGUUAGAGGUUCGAAGGCGAUCAGAUACCGCCCUAGUUCUAACCAUAAACGAUGCUGACUAGCAAUCCGCCGGCGUUAUUCCCAUGACCCGGCGGGCAGCUUCCGGGAAACCAAAGUCUUUGAGUUCCGGGGGAAGUAUGGUUGCAAAGCUGAAACUUAAAGGAAUUGACGGAAGGGCACCACCAGGAGUGGAGCCUGCGGCUUAAUUUGACUCAACACGGGAAACCUCACCAGGCCCAGACACUGGAAGGAUUGACAGAUUGAGAGCUCUUUCUCGAUUCAGUGGGUGGUGGUGCAUGGCCGUUCUUAGUUGGUGGAG